CAUUGUGACAUGGGGGAUUAACCUUCAAUACAUGAAUCUUUGUGAGAUACUUCAUAUUCAAAUCAUAACAAUUUUAGUUUAAAAUCUAUCCUAAAAGGAUAGGUUAUAUUUUAUUUUGUAGGAUUUCAUUUACAAAAGAAACAUCAAAGACAGCUGAGCAUCUUGGCACACACCUGUAAUUCCAGCUCGUGGGAGGCUGAAGCAGGAGAACCACUGAGAGUUAAGGCCAGAUUGGGGAACAUAAGGAGUUCAAGACCAGCUCAAACUAUAUGAUGAGGCUCAAAAAGAAACAAAAAAACCACAGAGAAAUGUUAAAGUAAAAAAAAAUCAC
rnacentral:lncRNA from 1 species